rnacentral:lncRNA from 1 species
UAUAGGGGGUGAUGUUUCUUUGUCGAGUGGAAUUGACUUGCGGAGCUCCAUAAGUGCAGUAGUGAUAGGCUCCAAUAAUUUACUCGACCGAGUGGGCAAAUCCUCCUUUUUAAUUGCUAGUGCCCUACUACCUUCACCUAGAGAGGCUAUUUUUUGUUUCUUUUUUGCCCUUCUAUAAGUAUUUGGAAAGUGUGCUAUGGCCUUUGCUUUCUCUGUUGCCUUUCGCUCACGUGCUCCAAACUUCACGCGCCGGCAUAAGGAGGAAACAUAUUUCGUGGAGAUAGGUCCAACUUCUUUCUCACCCUCAACAUCAGUGGGCCCAAAUAACCUGAUAACAAUAUGCAUUUCAUCUAAUAAACAAGAUAGUAUAAUGAUAAAAAAUUUUUUUAUCAAAAUCAAAUAAUUACAUACCUCCACCUCAUCUGCACUAUCCUGAAUCUCAUCUUUCUCCACUACACCUUUGUCCUUAGCUUCAACUGCAGUAUGCUCUUCACUCACCU